GCAAGAUCCUCAUUCUUAGAAUCAUCCAACAUGGUUUUACGGUGAUGAUAUGGGAUUGGAUUGGAGGCUGGAAAAGAUGAGCAGGUUAAUCCUAAGAUCGAUUACACUGCUCUGAUACCAUGAUUUUCAUUGAGGACCUAGUGGUCACCGGGUUCUUGUCAAAGACAACCCCCCGUCAGCCCUGCCUACGGACGCGAUGUUCUAUCGGGCCCCGGCCGCCGCGCAAACUGACCUUCGCCCGGAAACCAUACUGCCCCCACACGAGAACUCCGCUGGGGUAACAGCUGGGUAAAACCGGGUUGCCCUCCGGAUUGAACCAUGCCUAGGUAGGAAACGAUCCAUCAUUGGGACAUCCCGCACCUUUUGCUUCAGUCGGGAGUCGAACCGGCGUCUCCAAGGAGAACACCAGCCUAACUGACCGACUGAGCUAGGGUGGGGGAUUACCCUAUUAACCCGAGAAACUUGAUGAAGGAAAUUCCUAUUUAUUUUAGGUUUUUGCAAUUCAGAAGCACGUUUUGUCCUUAACGUUUACCAGGACCAGGUAGCGUGUUGCCGACCUUCCAAGUUCCCAUUGAUAACAAGUCGUUUACAAUUCCCUCCCACAAAUUUGAUUACAAUAUCAAAUCCAGUUUCUUUAACUUAUGGAAAAUAUUUUUUAUUUUAUAUAUUUUUUCCUUUUAUAUUCAUGAUAAUCCAGUUUCUUUAUUU